CCCACGGCAUCGCCAGCACAGUGCCUGAGAGACAAGACACUCACAGACUGCAUGAAGAAGUGCCCCCAGCCUGGUCCUGAGGAGCCCCGUGCACACACGCCUGGGCACACGGCUGCAAGUGCACGUAAGACAUAGACCCUGCUCCUGUGUAGAGCCACAGACGCACACGGGCCGCCCACACUGCGAAACUCACAGCACCAGCACCCAGGAGACCCCGACCAGCAUAGGGCUAGCCUGCUGGACACGUGGUCACACACAGGCUUAGCCAGGUCACCAUCCAAACCACACACGGAACACACACAGACAUCGGACGGAGGACUGGAUUCCGGGGGUGGUGAGACCCCUGCCCCCAUGGCUCUGUUCAGCAGCAGCCUCCUAUCCGGGGACCCUGCUUUCCUCUUUCACGGGGGUGGCCAAGACCCAGCCCAGGCACCUCCAGGGUCACUGCAGCCAGGUCCGCUUCCAGGGAACCCCCCCACCCCCCAAAGAGGGGUCUGGAAGAGGGGAAGUGUCUGGCGUCUGGAAAUCGGAUCCUCAAGAGGCGCCCACAUAGAAACCGGAGCCUUGUCCUUGGCCACACAGCUGCCUGGAGAGGUAGGAGGGAGCAGAGCCCUGGAGCUCCAGCUCCCCACGGCUGGCGGGUGGGGACCAGGCGGGUGGGGACGGCAGGGAUCCCGCUCCUCCUCUUCCUCAUCGGGGUACCCACUGCAGCCGAGCAGCACAACCUCCUGGGAUCAGCACCCCCCCACACCACCAGAUGCCCAAGCUGGGGCUGAAACACCUCAUGCUCUCCUACCAACCAGGCGGCGUAGGGUGGGGGGUGGGGGGUGGGGUACAGGGAGGCUGCAAACUCCAGACGCAGGUGGCUCUCACAGGUGGAGGUACAGGGCCCGGAGUCCAGACAGCUUGAUGCAGACUCCAGAGCAGCCAGGGAGCCUGCCAGCCCCUCCCCCACAUGUCUGGAGGGUUCUCCUAGGCUCCCUCAGGAGAAGGGGCUCCCCAGGGCACGCUGGGAAUAGAAACAGGGCUUCACGAGUCUCCCUUCCACCUCCUCCCUACAGGCACGAGGGCCCAGGUACA
rnacentral:lncRNA from 1 species